rnacentral:rRNA from 2 species
ACAAUAAGCAAAAUAAGGGCGUAUGGGGAAUGCCUAGGCUCUCAGAGGCGAUGAAGGACGUGAUAAGCUGCGAAAAGCUACGGGGAUUGGCACACACGAAUUGAUCCGUAGAUAUCCGAAUGGGGCAACCCACUAUAUUGAAGAUAUAGUAUCCGCAAGGAAGCAAACCCGCUGAACUGAAACAUCUAAGUAGGCGGAGGAGAAGAAAACAAAAGUGAUUCCGUAAGUAGUGGCGAGCGAAAGCGGAACAGCCCAAACCAAUAAUGUUACGGCAUUGUUGGGGUUGUAGGACCACGAUAUUCUAUGUAACGCGAAUUAGAAGCAUCUGGAAAGUUGCAUCAAAGAGGGUGAUAAUCCCGUAUAAGUAAGCAAUAUAAUAGAUAGUGGUAUCCUGAGUAGGGCGGGGCACGUGAAACCCUGUCUGAAACUGGCGGGACCAUCCGUUAAGGCUAAAUACUCCUGAGAGACCGAUAGUGAACCAGUACC